CUACUACUACUACUACUACUAUUACCACUACUACUACUACGUAACCCGAGACCACGGUUGCUCCCGAGAAAGAAACUCCGCCGACGGAGGAAAAAAGGUGACGAGUUUCGGAGCACCUAAAUCCACAAUUGCUAUCACUAUGAAUUAUUAAUGAAACAUAUAAGAAUAAAAAUUUUCGAGCAAAAA
rnacentral:lncRNA from 1 species